rnacentral:tRNA from 1 species
GCUGGAGUCGCAUAAUCUGGUAUUGCGGCGGUCUCAAAAACCGUUGGGUUCACGCCCUUCCGGGUUCAAAUCCCGGCUCCAGCG